rnacentral:antisense_RNA from 1 species
UGUCAUGGCGGCUGUGUGCGGGAGCACCUUCGGGUGCAUCGAGCUUUGGUAUUUCCCUCGAUCUGUCAGCCCGCACGCAGCUGCCACCCUC